UGGGACUUCUCACCCUGCACCUCCUCACCUCUGAAGGAGGUCAGCAAAACCUUCCAUGUGACCACACUACAAACCUGUCUGGGGAACUGAAUUUUUCCUUCAAACACAGUGAAAAGAAAUGGGAGCUGUAAAUGGAUAUUGCCGCUGGGAUGGUCAAACCACCAGCUCAGGGAAGCUGCUGGUGAUUUCUGUCUCUGGCCCCAGGUGAGACCUCCCAGAGGCACAGGCUGUCCUGUUGCCUGGAAAGCACUCAAGACAUGGCUGGUAACAGAAACUGAAAGCAGGUUCAACGGAGGGUCUGAGGGCAACACCCUUCAAAGAACCUUGAAGCUAAAUAUUUAGCUGCUAGUAACAAAGAAAAAGAAAGCAAAACCAGUGAUAAUUUCACUGGAGGAAAUAAGCAUUGUGUUUCUGAUAAGGAGUGUUUUCGCCCCCAAAAUGAGUGUUACACAACAGGGGUUCCACUGACUUGUGUUUCCCACUCACAAACCUCUGGACAGUCCAGUCUUGUAGCCUAGAUGAAGAUAGACAGGAAACUCCCUGAAAUGGGAUGGGACCUCCCUAAACAACUAGAAUGAACAGAAGCACAAAAACUCCCUUCAGCAGCUCCACAGGAGAAGCUGCAGAGGACAGGAGAUGGAUAGGACAGCUCAGGGAGGACAUGGACCUAUUGGAGUGAAUCCAGGUGAUGCUCAGAGGGCUGGAACACCUCUCCUGUGAAGAAAGGCUGAGAAAAUU